CACGUAGGGGGCGAGCGUUGUCCGGAUUUAUUGGGCGUAAAGAGCUCGUAGGCGGCUCAGUAAGUCAGGUGUGAAAACUCCAGGCUCAACCUGGAGACGCCACCUGAUACUGCUGUGGCUAGAGUCCGGUAGGGGAGCAUGGAAUUCCUGGUGUAGCGGUGAAAUGCGCAGAUAUCAGGAGGAACACCAGUGGCGAAGGCAGUGCUCUGGGCCGGAACUGACGCUGAGGAGCGAAAGCGUGGGGAGCAAACAGG
rnacentral:rRNA from 1 species